CCCCUAGAUGUUCUGGGCCGCACGCGCGCUACACUGAACAGUUCAACAAGUCUUAACCUUGGCCGAUAGGUCUGGGUAAUCUUUGAACGCUGUUCGUGAUUGGGAUAGACCUUUGCAAUUAUGGGUCUUCAACGAGGAAUUCCUAGUAAACGCAAGUCAUCAGCUUGCAUUGAUUACGUCCCUGCCCUUUGUACACACCGCCCGUCGACUCUACCGAUUGAAUGGUUCGGUGAAAACUUUGGACUGUGGCAUUGUCCUUCAUUGGACUUCGCCGUAGGAAAUUGUUUAAACCUCAUCAUUUAGAGGAAGAAUAANUCGUANCA
rnacentral:rRNA from 1 species